GGUUUACGUACGGAUGACGUCACCGCGCCGCGCCUGCGCGCUGCCCCUUUCCGCCUUGGAGACGCCGCGCCGCCACCAUGCAGCUCUUCAUCCGCGGCCAGACCCUCCUCACCCUCGAGCUCUCCGGCUCCGAGACCCUCGCCCAGAUCAAGG